AGGACGAACGCUGGCGGCGUGCUUAACACAUGCAAGUCGAGCGGUAAGGCCUUUCGGGGUACACGAGCGGCGAACGGGUGAGUAACACGUGGGUGAUCUGCCCUGCACUUCGGGAUAAGCCUGGGGAAACGGGGUCUAAUACCGGAUAUGACUGCGCCAUGCAUGUGGUGUGGUGGAAAGUUCUGGCGAUGAGGGAUGAGCUCGCGGCCUAU
rnacentral:rRNA from 1 species